AGCUUUGCGCAGCGGCAGUAUAGUAGCCAAUGAGGUUUAUCCUAGGCACAAUUAUUGCUAAUUGAAAGAGACUAUGUAUCACUUGCCAAAUUUGGAUUCCUAAACUCCAGACAAGACUGGACAGAACACAAAUGAAAACAGG